rnacentral:misc_RNA from 1 species
GAUGAAGAACGUAGCGAAAUGCGAUAAGUAAUGUGAAUUGCAGAAUUCAGUGAAUCAUCGAAUCUUUGAACGCACAUUGCGCCCGCCAGUAUUCUGGCGGGCAUGCCUGUUCGAGCGUCAUUUCAACCAUCAAGCCCUGCUUGCGUUGGGGUCCUGCGGCUGCCCGCAGGCUCUGAAAACCAGUGGCGGGCUCGCUAGUCACACCGAGCGCAGUAAUACAUCUCGCUUUGGGCGUGCGGCGGGUUCUUGCCGUUAAACACCCCCUUUUUACCAAGGUUGACCUCGGAUCAGGUAGGAAUACCCGCUGAACUUAAGCAUAUCAAUAAGCGGAGGA